GAUGAACGCUGGCGGCGUGCCUAAUACAUGCAAGUCGAGCGACAAGACGAGGAGCUUGCUCCUUUGAGGUUAGCGGCGGACGGGCGAGUAAAACGUAGGUAACCUACUUCUAUGACUGGGGUAACUUCGGGAAACCGGAGCCAAUACCGGCUCAUAUUUCGUACCGCAUGGAUCGAUAGUGAUAGAUGGCUUUGCUAUCACUUAUAGAUGGACCUGCGGCGUAUUAGCUAGUUGGUAAGGUAACGGCUUACCAAGGCAACGAUACGUAGCCGACCUGAGAGGGUGAUCAGCCACACUGGAACUGAGACACGGUCCAGACUCCUACGGGAGGCAGCAGUAGGGAAUCUUCCACAAUGGGCGAAAGCCUGACGGAGCAACACCGCGUGAGUGAUGAAGGUCUUCGGAUCGUAAAACUCUGUUAUUAGGGAAGAACAAACGUAUAAGUAACUGUGCACGUCUUGACGGUACCUAAUCAAAAAGCCACGGCUAACUACGUG
rnacentral:rRNA from 1 species